rnacentral:rRNA from 1 species
UACGAAGGGUGCGAGCGUUAAUCGGAAUUACUGGGCGUAAAGGGCGCGUAGGCGGCCCGCUAAGUCGAACGUGAAAUCCCCAGGCUCAACCUGGGAACUGCGUCCGAUACUGGCAGGCUUGAAUCCGGGAGAGGGAUGUGGAAUUCCAGGUGUAGCGGUGAAAUGCGUAGAUAUCUGGAGGAACACCGGUGGCGAAGGCGGCAUCCUGGACCGGUAUUGACGCUGAGGCGCGAAAGCUAGGGUAGCAAACGGG